GAAUUUUGGACAAUGGGCGCAAGCCUGAUCCAGCCAUUCCGCGUGCAGGAUGAAGGCCCUCGGGUUGUAAACUGCUUUUGGACGGAACGAAAAGGCCUUUUCUAAUACAGAGGGCUCAUGACGGUACCGUCAGAAUAAGCACCGGCUAAAUACGUGCCAGCAGCCGCGGUAAUACGUAGGGUGCAAGCGUUAAUCGGAAUUACUGGGCGUAAAGCGUGCGCAGGCGGUGAUGUAAGACAGGUGUGAAAUCCCCGGGCUUAACCUGGGAACUGCAUUUGUGACUGCAUCGCUGGAGUGCGGCAGAGGGGGAUGGAAUUCCGCGUGUAGCAGUGAAAUGCGUAGAUAUGCGGAGGAACACCGAUGGCGAAGGCAAUCCCCUGGGCCUGCACUGACGCUCAUGCACGAAAGCGUGGGGAGCAAACAGG
rnacentral:rRNA from 1 species